GUCCUUUUGUAUUUAAUUGAAGGUCUGACCUGCCCAGUGAUUAAUUUAACGGCCGCGGUAUACUGACCGUGCAAAGGUAGCAUAAUCAUUAGUCUUUUAAUAGAGGGCUGGAAUGAAAGGUUUAACGAGGAACUGACUGUCUCAUUUUAUUUGUUUUAAAAUUUAAUUUUUUAGUUAAAAAGCUAAAAUUUCAUUGGAAGACGAGAAGACCCUAUAGAUCUUUAUAGAAAAAUAAAUAAUUAUUAAUAUAUAAAUAUAAUUAUUUAUUUUUCUAUUUUGUUGGGGUGACAAAAAUAUAAAUCUAACUUUUUUAUUUAUAUAACAUUGAUUUAUGAAUAUAGGAUCCAUUACUAGUGAUUAUUAGAUUAAGUUACCUUAGGGAUAACAGCGUAAUCCUCCUCCAGAGUUCAUAUUUACAGGAUGGGCUUGCGACCUCGAUGUUGGAUUAAGAUAAUAAUCAGGUGUAGCCGCUUGAUUUAUAGGUCUGUUCGACCUUUAAAUUCUU
rnacentral:rRNA from 1 species